rnacentral:rRNA from 1 species
CAGUCGCCACGGUAAUACAGAGGGUGCGAGCGUUAAUCGGAUUUACUGGGCGUAAAGCGUGCGUAGGCGGCUUUUUAAGUCGGAUGUGAAAUCCCUGAGCUUAACUUAGGAAUUGCAUUCGAUACUGGGAAGCUAGAGUAUGGGAGAGGAUGGUAGAAUUCCAGGUGUAGCGGUGAAAUGCGUAGAGAUCUGGAGGAAUACCGAUGGCGAAGGCAGCCAUCUGGCCUAAUACUGACGCUGAGGUACGAAAGCAUGGGGAGCAAACAGGAUUAGAUACCCGCGUAGUCCCUGUCUAUUAUAA